UGAAUCCAGGCUUGCUCCUCCAGGCCUCUCUUCCCCACCAGCUCCUCCACGCUGCCCAGGUGGCGGCCGGUAUCGGGUGCAGAGACCACCGUGGCCCAGGCACUGCAGUCUGAACCUGGGAGAGCCUGGGAACCCACAGACCCACCACAGAGACUUGGAGGCAGCUGGCCCUGCACAAGACAGCAGAGGGCCAGAUGUGGGGACUAUACCCCAAGGACACAGGGGCACUUACAUCUGAACAAGCAGAAAGGGGGAUACGCCAGGCGGCAGGCAGCAGUGCCGAGAAGGUGAAGACGGAGGCGGUGGUGAUGUCAACCAAGGAAUUAAGAAAUGAGUGUCAGAAGUUUGGCUGACCAGGGGUGGACCUCUGUUCUGGUAGGAGCCCUCCCGCACACCAGGACAAGACGCAGAGUGG